rnacentral:rRNA from 1 species
UUUAGAAUUUUGGGGGUAGAAUCUUUGCUUUCUCUUGCUAUUCUCUCACAAAUUCUACCGAAAGCUAUAGAAAGAAGAGGAUUAGAGACCCUGGUAUUGAGUUAUAGUUAUUUUGUGGCUUCAUAGUUUAAACUAAAAAAAUUUGGCAGCCGAUGAUUUCCCCCGGGGGAGCGUGCGGUGUAAGAGAUGAUCCACUUAUAUCUUUACCACCUCUAUUGUGGGUUAGUGUACGUCCGGUUUAAUACCUCUGAUUAGAGUCUUUAGGUGAAUUUCAGUUGAUUUAGGCCAGGUC